GCUGAUGCUUCAGCAAUAGCCGUCACUGAAAAGCUGUGCCGCUUCACUCAACUGGAUGGUCAGGCUGACUGCAACCGUAGGCCUACUGAAUAGAUGGCAGGGAAGCACAGCACACGGGAAUUUAUAAAUGAAGAAGAGUGAAUAAAUGCACUUGCUUUUCAAACUGAUAA